UAGCCGACCUGAGAGGGUGAUCGGCCACAUUGGAACUGAGACACGGUCCAAACUCCUACGGGAGGCAGCAGUGGGGAAUAUUGCACAAUGGGCGCAAGCCUGAUGCAGCAACGCCGCGUGAGCGAUGAAGGCUUUCUAGUCGUAAAGCUCUGUCCUUGGGGAAGAAAAAAAUGACGGUACCCUUGGAGGAAGCCCCGGCUAACUACGUGCCAGCAGCCGCGGUAAUACUUAGGGGGCGAGCGUUAUCCGGAAUUAUUGGGCGUAAAGAGUAUGUAGGUGGUCUCUUAAGCGCAGGGUUUAAGGCAAUGGCUCAACCAUUGUUCGCCCUGCGAACUGAGUGACUUGAGUGCAGGAGAGGAAAGCGGAAUUCCUAGUGUAGCGGUGAAAUGCGUAGAUAUUAGGAGGAACACCAGUGGCGAAGGCGGCUUUCUGGACUGUAACUGACACUGAGAUAUGAAAGCGUGGGGAGCAAACAGGGAUUAGAUACCCUGGUAGUCCACGCCGUAAACGAUUGAGCACUAGGUGUCG
rnacentral:rRNA from 1 species